AGCUGACAGGUGGUGCAGUAUUCUAGUCAGCAGAGUUCCCUCUGAAGACGGGGCUAAAAAUCCGUUAAAGGGCAUAUCGAUGAAGUUUCUGGUGUUGGCUGCCGACGCCCAGUCGGGGGUUGAUGCUGGGAGUAAGAAUUAUGGGCGGCCGUCAAUGGCAUGGCGGAGUUCGACCCAUUUUUCGUGGAGGCAUGACGGCUUUGCGUCAUGAAAACCUGCAUGGCGGUACACAAGCUGCCUGCAGUGUAGCCUGCCUUGAGCGGUUGUGGUGGAUCGCGGAACAACGCACGGUGACCAAAAGCUUACGGGAACCGCGGCGAUCGCUGCGUGAAACCCCGGCUGCAAAAGAGGCUAGGAAGGAACCGAGGCUGCCGAGGAAAGCUCCUAGACUGUCGAUGAGGAUAUGGCAGAGAUUACAGUGUGGACUCAGUGGUAAUUCGGUCGCGCGCGCGGAAACGGCGCGACGUCCGUUUUGAAGGGAAACCGCUCCUAUGGCGACAGGGAGUAACGGACGGGGAAAUCCUACCGAACCUAUGCCGCAAGGUUUAUUUGCCGUAUCACCACCUAUUUUUGUU
rnacentral:sRNA from 1 species